GACGAACCGUCCAAACGUUAUUCGGAAUCACUGGGCGUAAAGCGCACGUAGGCGGAUUGCUAAGUCAGGGGUGAAAUCCUGGAGCUCAACUCCAGAACUGCCCUUGAUACUGGCGGUCUCGAGUCCGGGAGAGGUGAGUGGAACUGCGAGUGUAGAGGUGAAAUUCGUAGAUAUUCGCAAGAACACCAGUGGCGAAGGCGGACUCACUGGCCCGAUACUGACGCUGAGGCACGAAAGCGUGGGGAGCAAACAGG
rnacentral:rRNA from 1 species